GAUGAUACAACAUGGUUAUGUCUCCACAAAGGAGUACAGAAUACAGAAUAACGAGAGUGAUACUGAUCCUUUCUAUUCAUAUACUAAUUUAUUCCUGCAGUAUACGUAUAUGAAUAUCAUAAGCGAACGUAAAUAGUUUCAUGGAGACCCAGUUGUAGAUUCAGUUUCAAUAGGAGUAGAACAACAUGGGCAGCAGGACCCUGGAGGUGGAGGUGAGCAGCAUACACAAGUUGGACAUAUUGGUCCAGAUUGGAGACCUACACACACACACACACACACAAGCGUAAGAUCAAUAAUAAAUGAGGUGUUGGUAAUGAACAAGAAAUGAAUUCGAGAGAGAACUACGUUUAAGUAAAUAAUCACCUCGAUAAUUCAAACGGCCUGCUUCAGCAGAUGGCAGUAUCGGAGACAGUA